rnacentral:rRNA from 1 species
CCUACGGGGGGCAGCAGUGAGGAAUAUUGGUCAAUGGGCGCUAGCCUGAACCAGCCAAGUAGCGUGAAGGAUGACUGCCCUAUGGGUUGUAAACUUCUUUUAUAUGGGAAUAAAGUGCAGUAUGUAUACUGCUUUGCAUGUACCUUAUGAAUAAGGAUCGGCUAACUCCGUGCCAGCAGCCGCGGUAAUACGGAGGAUUCGAGCGUUAUCCGGAUUUAUUGGGUUUAAAGGGAGCGUAGGCGGGUUGUUAAGUCAGUUGUGAAAGUUUGCGGCUCAACCGUAAAAUUGCAGUUGAUACUGGCAGCCUUGAGUACAGUAGAGGUGGGCGGAAUUCGUGGUGUAGCGGUGAAAUGCUUAGAUAUCACGAAGAACUCCGAUUGCGAAGGCAGCCUGCUGGACUGUAACUGACGCUGAGGCUCGAAAGUGUGGGUAUCAAACAGGAUUAGAUACCCUGGUAGUC